CAACAGACUCUUAUACCGGCUGUCUUUCUUGUAGGACCCAAGAGUGCAACAGCUGCAAACAGUAGCCUGUUCAACAAUAUACCACCCUGCUCCUUGUGCAGGUUGUCCCAACCCACCUUGGAGACAGCC